rnacentral:rRNA from 1 species
GACGAACGCUGGCGGCGUGCUUAACACAUGCAAGUCGAACGGAGAUUAUUAAUGAAGCUUGCGAUUUAAUAAUCUUAGUGGCGGACGGGUGAGUAACGCGUGGGCAACCUACCCAUAAGAGGGGGAUAACAGCUGGAAACGGCUGCUAAUACCGCAUAAACUUUUUAAGACACAUGUUUUAGAAAGGAAAGGUGGCGCAAGCUAUCGCUUAUGGAUGGGCCCGCGUCUGAUUAGCUAGUUGGUGGGGUAACAGCCUACCAAGGCAACGAUCAGUAGCCGGCCUUAGAGGGUGGACGGCCACACUGGGACUGAGACACGGCCCAGACUCCUACGGGAGGCAGCAGUGGGGAAUAUUGCGCAAUGGGGGAAACCCUGACGCAGCGACGCCGCGUGAGCGAAGAAGGCCUUAGGGUUGUAAAGCUCUGUUCUAUGGGACGAAGUCCUUGACUGUGAAUAAUGGUCAAGGUUGACGGUACCAUAGGAGGAAGCCCCGGUAACUACGUGCCAGCAGCCG